rnacentral:misc_RNA from 1 species
GAUGAAGAACGUAGCAAAGUGCGAUAACUAGUGUGAAUUGCAUAUUCAGUGAAUCAUCGAGUCUUUGAACGCAACUUGCGCUCAAUGGUAUUCCAUUGAGCACGCCUGUUUCAGUAUCAAAAACACCCCACAUUCAUAAUUUUGUUGUGAAUGGAAAUGAGAGUUUCGGCUUUAUUGCUGAAUUCUUUAAAAUUAUUAGGCCUGAACUAUUGUUCUUUCUGCCUGAACAUUUUUUUAAUAUAAAGGAAUGCUCUAGUAAAAAGACUAUCUCUGGGGCCUCCCAAAUAAAUCAUUCUUAAAUUUGAUCUGAAAUCAGGCGGGAUUACCCGCUGAACUUAAGCAUAUCAAUAAGCGGAGGA